UGACUACGCAUAUUACUGUAUUAGAGGUAAAAAAAAUUAUAUAAAUACUGUUCGGCUUCUCGCACAAACCGAUCGUUUCGUUUCUUAGGAUAUCAAUGUGUCGUCACGAGCGGCAGGGUUUAAUUUGGAUUUGUCUGUGCAUGUUUUUACUGUCUGAGAUUUUGUUACUAUUCACAUGCAUACAGACUGAAACGGUUGGAGUUUCUACAUUUGUGUUGUACUGAAGAAACAAAAUCACAUACAUCUUGGAUGGCCUCGGGGUAAGCUGAUAAAUACAAAAAAUUCAUUUUAAGAUGAAUCCCGUACGUUGGCGGCUGUUUUAAACUGGGUGCUCGGCUCCGACCCUUUUGCCAGUAUGAAGCCGAUUUCAACGGUAACUGCAGAAAGCGUCAGCACGCUCAGCUCAUCACUGGAGUAACGUCUGUACAACGGGUGAGAUAAAACUCAACGCCUGACUGAAUCAUCCAUUCCCUUUUCGAUCCUACGCCAUACGUUAAACUUGAGGUAAUCUUGCUUUUGCUGUUCUAAAAUAAACACUGCUCUUAGCACACCACCCAUACAUGGCACACAAAACAGGUCUUGUGAGGGGGCUGUGCCCACAGGUAGAAAUUCUGUAGGUCCACGGGCUUCUCCCCUUUCAGCGAACAUCACAGCGCUUAGUCCACCAUCGUGGUCUCCAAUCUCCAUUACCAACAGCCUGAGUGCUACACCUACAGACACCCCAACCCAUGCAGCAGCUGGCAGAAGUCAGACAUCAGGCCAAACUGGAUUUCAACACACCCCACCCUUACAUGGCACACAAGUAUAUGACACACAACACAGGUCUUCUCAGGAGGCUGUGCCUACAGCAAUAGGCUUUAUGCCCAGCUGCACUACUUCCUGAACUUCAGCCAGCUCCUUGUUUCCUGUCUGCCAUUAUUGGACAAACUGAUUAAUCCAGGUGUGCCUGAGCUUAGUAGUCACAACAACAAUAAUCAGACACACCUGGAUUUAUCAGUUUGUCCAGUAAUGGCAGACAGGAAACAAGGAGCUUAAAGCCUAUUGCUAAGGAGAUCCUCAUCCAGCUCGAUUUUAUUAGAGAGCAGCAGUUGCAGACUUCACCCCAGACCCAACACAUUUUGGGCUCCCACUUUCAACUAUUGAGGAGCUACAAUGUUUGUAGGAGACAUUAAAUAAUCCAGAUGAGAAGAAGAAUUUGGUGAGACUGUGUUUCCUGCAAUGGUCGGAGACAAGACUCUUAAAGACACCGUGGGGUGGGUCCUGAAAAAAACAAUGAACUCUUCGUGGUGAGACUCAUCAAUUGAAGUGGGGUCAACUGAACGCCUGCAUUCAAAGGGCUCACUUUGAAAAGUGUGGUUUUGGAUGCAGUCCGCCGGAAUGCCCUGACCAAAGAUAACACAGAAAAGGAGAUAGAGCUCCUCAUCACCAGGUGGUCGGUGCUAGCAUAUGACAGGGAUGGUGGCCGAAUCCAGACAAUAGACAGACAAUGAAUUAAAAUGUUUUAAAUUUAAAAAUGUUGAUUUUUGGAAAAUUCGUAUUUGAACUGAUUGUGUGUGUGUGUGUGCACCUGGUAAUUAUCACGUUGUGUCCCCACAAAGAUAGGAAUACCAGUAUUUUUGUGACCUUGUGUCCCCAUGAGGAAACAAGCUUAUAAAUCAAACAAAAUGAUGUUUCUUGUAAAUGUGAAGUAGGAGAAGGGUUUCUGUGAUGGUUGGGUUUAGGGAAUGGGGUAGGUAAGGGGAAUAAAAUAUACAGUUUGUAUGGUAUAAAAUGCAUUACGUCUAUGGAAUGUCCCCACAAAACAUGGAAACCUGUUUGUGUGUACGAGAGAGAGAGAAUGUGUGUUCAAGUGAAUAAAAAAUGCAUUAAACGUGAAA